CGCAGGCGGUCUUGUCCGUCAGGUGUGAAAGCUCGGGGCUCAACCCCGGAAGUGCACUUGAAACAGCAAGACUUGAAUACGGGAGAGGAAAGCGGAAUUCCUGGUGUAGAGGUGAAAUUCGUAGAUAUCAGGAGGAACACCGAUGGCGAAGGCAGCUUUCUGGACCGAUAUUGACGCUGAGGCGCGAAGGCGUGGGUAGCGAACG
rnacentral:rRNA from 1 species